rnacentral:RNase_P_RNA from 1 species
UGAGUCGGCCGGGUGACCGCGGCAUGGCAUUGCGACCAUGUCGAGGAAAGUCGGGACUCCACAGAGCAGAGUGCUGGCGCGAGCCAGGUCGGGGCGACCUGACGGACAGUGCAACAGAGAGAGACCGCCGAUGGGCCGGCUUGCCGGCCACAGGUAAGGGUGCAACGGUGCGGUAAGAGCGCACCAGCGUGUGCGGCGACGUACACGGCUCGGUAAACCCCACUCGGAGCAAGGCCAAGCAGAACGUACGGGCGGCUCGUCCGCCGGUUCGCCGGCAGCGUUCGGGUAGGCCGCCUAGAGGGAUGGUCACCCGUUCACCUUCGGGUGAACGACAGAAUCCCGCUUACAGGCCGACUCACCGU